rnacentral:lncRNA from 1 species
UAUACAUCUGACCUAAUAGUUAUUGAUGAGUACAGAUAAUGAGUAGACAACAUCUUAUCUAUUGCUUUACUAAGCAAGAUGCAAUGGAUUUGAUCUCUAAGUCCUGUGAUCUCACCUAACAGUUAUUGGCACAUUUAUUAGUUAAGUCAAAUCUACCAUUCACUAGCGGGCACAAAGCCAUCAUUGGAUCCCUCACCUAAUAGUUAUUAGGUCCAACCCUAUC